rnacentral:rRNA from 1 species
AACAAGGUCUCCGUUGGUGAACCAGCGGAGGGAUCAUUACUGAGUUUACGCUCUACAACCCUUUGUGAACAUACCUAUAACUGUUGCUUCGGCGGGUAGGGUCUCCGUGACCCUCCCGGCCUCCCGCCCCCGGGCGGGUCGGCGCCCGCCGGAGGAUAACCAAACUCUGAUUUAACGACGUUUCUUCUGAGUGGUACAAGCAAAUAAUCAAAACUUUUAACAACGGAUCUCUUGGUUCUGGCAUCGAUGAAGAACGCAGCGAAAUGCGAUAAGUAAUGUGAAUUGCAGAAUUCAGUGAAUCAUCGAAUCUUUGAACGCACAUUGCGCCCGCCAGCAUUCUGGCGGGCAUGCCUGUUCGAGCGUCAUUUCAACCCUCAAGCUCUGCUUGGUGUUGGGGCCCUACAGCUGAUGUAGGCCCUCAAAGGUAGUGGCGGACCCUCCCGGAGCCUCCUUUGCGUAGUAACUUUACGUCUCGCACUGGGAUCCGGAGGGACUCUUGCCGUAAAACCCCCCAAUUUUCCAAAGGUUGACCUCGGAUCAGGUAGGAAUACCCGCUGAACUUAAGCAU